rnacentral:rRNA from 1 species
UAGUCCACGCCGUAAACGAUGGAUACUAGCUGUUCGGAACUUGUUUCUGAGUGGCUAAGCGAAAGUGAUAAGUAUCCCACCUGGGGAGUACGUUCGCAAGAAUGAAACUCAAAGGAAUUGACGGGGGCCCGCACAAGCGGUGGAGCAUGUGGUUUAAUUCGAUGAUACGCGAGGAACCUUACCAGGGCUUAAAUGUAGAUUGACAGGACUAGAGAUAGUUUUUUCUCGGACAAUUUACAAGGUGCUGCAUGGUUGUCGUCAGCUCGUGCCGUGAGGUGUCAGGUUAAGUCCUAUAACGAGCGCAACCCCUGUUGUUAGUUGCCAGCGAGUCGUGUCGGGAACUCUAGCAAGACUGCCAGUGCAAACUGUGAGGAAGGUGGGGAUGACGUCAAAUCAUCACGGCCCUUACGUCCUGGGCUACACACGUGCUACAAUGGUAGGGACAGAGAGCAGCCACUGUGCGAACAGGAGCGAAUCUAUAAACCCUAUCACAGUUCGGAUCGG